AUUAUUUGAGGACAGAACAGGCAUCUGUCGCACCACAAAUGUGGUUUGGAAAGAGAUGUGGGAUACGCCGCCCCACCAAAUAAU
rnacentral:ncRNA from 1 species